GGCCAAUGCGCACCGUGAUUGUCAGACCAGGGGAAGGAAGGCAGGGAAGUCCUAGCGAUUAGGCAGAUAAUAAGGGAAAUUCCUUAGCCCUUAGCACAAGGCCUUUUCCCUCCCCCAGAACCUGCUGGGGCCGAAUCGCCCCCGAUUUGCAGCAGAGAUAAGGAGGUCGCAGCCAUGGCGGAUGGACAACAAACAGCGCUUUAUCUGCACCGCCACCCGCAGUCCACGAUCAAUAUGUGGUCAUCGCUGCUCCGUCCUGCAGGAAGGAUCUGUGAGCUGAGACACUCACGUCCCCCCAGUUCCUGCCUCAGGAGUCCCCAGGUCACACAAGCAGGGAUACGGAAGAAAGAGGAAAAACACUCAAACAGCAGAAAGAAAUGCCUAUAUUCUGAAGCUGACCCCAACCUGAAUGUUUGCAGAGAAAACUGACCAGCUGGGGUGUCGGGAGCUGCAGGAGAGCAGCAUGUGGACUAUGAUGAAGAGGCAGAAGGCUCCUCAGGGCUUACACUGCUUGCAUCAUCUCUCGUGGGGCCACCUCAGAACGUGAUGCAAUGGGUGCGUUGCUCCACAGCACUGCAUCACUACCAGGAACUGCAGCGAUCAGUGGGCGUUCAGGUGGAGAUGCCCUGAGUCACAGAAGGCAUCAGCUGGAGGAGCAGACGGAGGACCUCGUGUUGCUAGGAUUUAAAGAAAUUUGUUUGAUACUUUCAGCCCAAUCCUGCUAGCAGCCACAAGUCUCCAGAAGGACUUUAAUGCACAGAGAUGUGAGAGCUGAUCUCAGACCUCAGCAGCACUCUGGCUGGAGCCAAGCAGCCUGCAUACCCUGCUGCCUACAUGAGUGGAGGCUGCGCCUGCACACUUUGUGUAGGUGUGCUGAGGGAGAUCUGCUUGGGAUGGCAAGGAAACCUUCACCCACUGCUGCAAUA
ensembl:lncRNA